CAAUGAAGACGUGUGUUCUGUUAUUCACCUGCUUUUCAAUCGUUCAAUCGCGAAACAUCGGUUCGAUUGAAUCGAGUAGUGUGAAAGUGAUCCAUAGAAAUAUAGAUAGUGUAGACUUAAGUCUCCAAGAAAUGAAAUCAGAACCUUUACAUAAAGUUGAUGAUGCGUUUGUGAAAUCGCAUUUAUUGGAGAAGAUGAGAAAGUAUAUGGAUUUAAAAGUGAUUCUUGAGAAAUCGGAUACCAAGAAGCUUUUACGAAGGAAGAGAGCGAUUAUAACUUGUGAAAACUGUGCACUGGGAGAGACAUUAAUCAGUAUUGGUAAUGGAUUUACAAUGUGUGUUAACCUUUACAAUGAAGAUACAGAUAUCGGAAGACGUGAAGCGUGCUUUGGACAGAACAGGUCUUUUUGUUACAAGCCCGAGAGGAAUGAUAGAAGUGAAGGGUAAAGGCGAAAUGAUGACACACUGGUUAGAAGGACGAACAGGGCCUUCACCUGCCCGUCCGACAGCAUCCCUGGAUUGCACGCCCAGCUUCCUCACCCGGAUCCACUCCCAUGGACGAGCCUCGCCACGCUACCAGCCUGACAUACGAUCUUAAAUAUUACUUUAAUUAUUGCGAUGUUUACAUAUUCGAUACUGCUUUCAAAUUAUUCAAUUAACACUUGGCUGGAAUCUAUAACUAAUUCUUAUGAUUAAAUACAAUUUCUGAAUACCAACAAUCAAUAUUGAAAUCGAAAUCGAUUUCGAACUGUCAAUAAAGCCUGCUCUAUUAGCUUCAUUACGCUAAUACAAUGAAAUAAUAUUUUUUGUCUAGGAGGUUGAGAUGUGACUUUUAACAUAGAAUAUGUUAUUUAUCUAAUAUUAUUAGAUUAACUAUUAUAUGUUUAGUAGUAGUAUAGUAACCAGACGCAUCGCAUAUUAAAAAAGAAUUAUACAGCUUUCGCCUUCGUAAUAAAACUGUUAUUUGAUUGUGCUUCAUGUUAAUGGUAAAGAGAUAAAAAAAUAAAGUAAACCUAUUUUAGUAAGGAUAUAAUCAUCCUGUUUUAAUUUGAACGUCCCAACAUAAAUUAAUAUCUUGAAUGUUAUAUAACCGUGUAUUAAAGAAAAGUUUUAUCUUGCAACUGCAUAAGACUAUGUAUGCAGAAACAAAUUUAGUCAGAAUGUGACAGUAAUUUAUUUUAAUACAAAUGUUUUUCUAGUAGUUCGUAAAGAUGAUUGGA